AUUUCCUUUUACUUUUCCUACCACUAAGAAAUAUGAGACUGCCACUGUUUUUGCUUGUUUCAUUCAAUUCUUUGUUGGUGACAGAAAAGAACCUAGAAAUUAGCUCUAAGUGGAGACUCCAGCACCCCAGAAUCCAGUAACAAUAGCACAUGACCAGUUAAUGACACAGUCUGAUACAUGUUGUUCUGUUUCAGGGGGAGGAGCAGCUGUGGUGUUAUCCAAGAAUGUGUUUCUCAAUUUGUCCCCACCUACUAUUUAGUUAGUGCAAUUUCUCCCUUGUACCUUGCCCUAGGCUCUUAUCUCCUGUUUAUGUAACAUCCCUUCAAGUUUUUGUACUUUUGCAUUGUUGUCCUGAGUAUGUUCUCGGGGUAUCCAGAUUGAACUGAUAAGUCGUAUCUGCUGUCUUUUUUCUUUAUCCCAGAAAAGUGGCCGUGUCAUGAGGGGUGGGGAGCCAGAGAAAGCUUCUGAGUAAGGCGAAUGGACCUACUUAGAAUGACCACUCUGGCUUUAGUGUGGAAAAUAAAUUGAAUGGAGGUGUUGCAGCGACCUGGCCAGUCAGGGCUGCUCAAUAGUCCAGAUGGAAUAUGAGAUCUGAGCAAAGGCUGUGGCUCGUUCGGGAGGAAGGUUGUCAGAGGCCACCCUGGAGCUGGCAGAGAGAGGAGAACCAGUCUUGUAAAGACCCUGGGAAUGUGUUGCCUGGAUGGAAUGCUGCUGGUAACAGCCAGAAGGAGGAAGAAGGAGGAGAGGAAGAGAAGGAAAAGAGCUUGAAGAGACGUGACAGGAGGAGGAGACAAGACCAAGCCCAAGCACAUCCAUUCUUUCUGCCUCUCUCUCCUCUGCCUCCUGCUCAGUGUUUCUCAGUGUUAGGGCAGUUGCCUGCCUCUCAGAGUCACUUGGGCCCAGCUGAUGUACUUCUGAGUCUAUCCCUUGCUCAUUCCACGUACCCAACCCAAAAGAGAAGGGCACUCACUCUCUGCUGGGAUAAAAGCCUUCCUCUCCAGGGCCAGCCCUGUAUGCCCUGGGCAGCAAAGACCAUAUCCCAGUCACCUGCUUCUACUUAGCUCCUCUGCCCUCUUGUCAUAUGACCUGGUUUUGAGGCCUUUGUAGCCCAGUCCCCAUCUCUUGACCCAGAGCAUACCCCAGCAAGUCAGAGAGGCUCCUGAGCUCUGGGUGGGUCUGGUGAUAUACAGCAGGGUAGGACAGCGCACUUCUCUGCUGUGGUUGCUAGGCCUCUGUUAAUGCAACCUGCUUUUAUGUGUGCGUAUUCAGCAGCCACCACGUUGGCUUAGGUAGAGCUUGCGCUCAGCUUGAAGUCCGAGUUCCUUCUUUAUUACAUUAUUGUUAAUAAAGCAAUUCUCCAAUAUCCUAUGCUUGGAGAAUCUUUUAAAGAAACCACAUGAAAGAACUGAUACUUUGCCCACUUUGUAGAUUUGCACUGUGAUGAUCAGAUUGCUUUCCUGGCUUCUUGUCAUGGGUGAACUUGAUAUAUGUACCUCAUGUCUUUAACUUAUUGAUAAGAUGUUAUCAUGAACUUGGCCCAAGACAGAACUCCCUCUUCCAGGCCUUGGUCCAUAAUCAGAGCCAUAGUUUGAUCAGCUUGCUACAAAUAUGUGAAGCAAUAUCACCUUUUAAAAUCUGGUCAUGCAUUAGUAGACACCUACAGAGCUGAAAUCAGAUACUCAAACAAACGGUCUUACAGGAACGUUCUUAUUACAGGAAUGUUCAUUGCAGCAUUACUGACAAUAGUCAAAAGGUGGAUGUAACCCAAGUGUUCAUUAACGGAUGAGUGGAUAAAUAAAAUAUGUGGUGUGCAUAAAAUGAAAUAUUAAUCAUAAAGAGGAAUAAAGUUAUGAUACACGCUAUGAUGUGGGGGUCCUCAAAAGCAUGAUGCUAAGUGAAAGAAGCCAGAAACAAAAGAUCACAUAUAAUGUGAUUUCAUUUAAAAGAAAUAUCUAGAAUAAAUAAAUCCAUAGAGACAGAAAGCAGACUGGUAGUUGCCGGGGGCUGAGGGUGUGACUGUUAAUUGGGUACAGUAUUCUCUUUCGUGACAGUGAAAAUGUUUUGGAACUAGAUACAGGUGAUGGUUGCACAACACUAUACAUGCAAUAAAUGCUGCUGAAUUGUGUAUUAUAAAACAGUUAAUUUUAUGUUGUGUGCAUUUUAUAUCAAUAAAAAUAUAUUUGCAA